UCAGGCAUGAGUGCCCCCAACCAGCUCCUGGGCUUGUUGCUGCUCUGGCUUACAGGCACCAAAUGUGACAUUCAGAUGACCCAGUCUCCUGCCUCCCUGUCUGCAUCUCUGGGAGAGAGUGUCACCAUCACAUGCCAGGCAAGUCAGAACAUUGGUGGCUGGUUAGCGUGGUACCAGCAGAAAACAGGGAACUCUCCUAAGCUCCUGAUCUAUAAUGCAAAAAGCUUGGCAGAAGGGGUUUCAUCAAGGUUUAGUGGCACUGGAUCUGGCACACAGUUUUCUCUCAAGAUCAGCAGCCUGCAGCCUGAAGAUGUGGCAAACUAUUAUUGUCUACAGUAUAAUAAUAUUCAAGCUCUUAGUGAAAGAACGACUAAGGGCAGAUGCUCAAUGCCACUUCGUCGAGCUCUGGGUGGUCUGGUUCAGAGAGGUCUGUGCUGCUUACGCAAGGAGCCUCUGGAGAAGGUUGGUGGGGAGGUCUGGGUCAAAGUCUAUACACCCCCGUCUCCUGCAGGAACCACUGUCAACAAGCUGUCCUGGCCAAGUUCAGGCUCCCUGCCUCCCUUCGUCAUAGAUGAUGCCAGAGAGGUUUGA